rnacentral:rRNA from 1 species
AUUGAACGCUGGCGGCAGGCCUAACACAUGCAAGUCGAGCGGAUGAGGGGUGCUUGCACUCCGAUUCAGCGGCGGACGGGUGAGUAAUGCCUAGGAAUCUGCCCGAUAGUGGGGGACAACGUUUCGAAAGGAACGCUAAUACCGCAUACGUCCUACGGGAGAAAGUGGGGGCUCUUCGGACCUCACGCUAUCGGAUGAGCCUAGGUCGGAUUAGCUAGUUGGUGGGGUAAAGGCUCACCAAGGCGACGAUCCGUAACUGGUCUGAGAGGAUGAUCAGUCACACUGGAACUGAGACACGGGCCAGACUCCUACGGGAGGGAGCAGUGGGGAAUAUUGGACAAUGGGCGAAAGCCUGAUCCAGCCAUGCCGCGUGUGUGAAGAAGGUCGUCGGAUUGUAAAGCACUUUAAGUCGGGAGGAAGGGCUGUAGGUUAAUACCUUGCAGCCUUGACGUUACCGACAGAAUAAGCACCGGCUAACUUCGUGCCAGCCGCCGCAGUAAAAC